rnacentral:rRNA from 1 species
UAAAGCUCUUUUACCCGGGAUGAUAAUGACAGUACCGGGAGAAUAAGCUCCGGCUAACUCCGUGCCAGCAGCCGCGGUAAUACGGAGGGAGCUAGCGUUGUUCGGAAUUACUGGGCGUAAAGCGCACGUAGGCGGUUAUUCAAGUCAGAGGUGAAAGCCCGGGGCUCAACCCCGGAACUGCCUUUGAAACUAGAUGACUGGAAUCUUGGAGAGGUCAGUGGAAUUCCGAGUGUAGAGGUGAAAUUCGUAGAUAUUCGGAAGAACACCAGUGGCGAAGGCGACUGACUGGACAAGUAUUGACGCUGAGGUGCGAAAGCGUGGGGAGCAAACAGGAUUCGAUACCCUGGUAGUCCACGCCGUAAACGAUGAUAACUAGCUGUCCGGGUACUUGGUAUUUGGGUGGCGCAGCUAACGCAUUAAGUUAUCCGCCUGGGGAGUACGGUCGCAAGAUUAAAACUCAAAGGAAUUGACGGGGGCCUGCACAAGCGGUGGAGCAUGUGGUUU